AUUGAACGCUGGCGGCAUGCCUUACACAUGCAUGUCGAACGGCAGCAUAGGAGCUUGCUCCUGAUGGCGAGUGGCGAACGGGUGAGUAAUAUAUCGGAACGUGCCCUAGAGUGGGGGAUAACUAGUCGAAAGACUAGCUAAUACCGCAUACGAUCUACGGAUGAAAGUGGGGGAUCGCAAGACCUCAUGCCCCUGGAGCGGCCGAUAUCUGAUUAGAAAGUUGGUGGGGCAAAAGCCUACCAAGGCGACGAUCAGUAGCUGGUCCGAAAGGACGAACAGCCACACUGGGACUGAGGCACGGCCCAGACUCCUACGGGAGGCAGCAGUGGGGAAUUUUGGACAAUGGGGGCAACCCUGAUCCAGCAAUGCCGCGUGAGUGAAGAAGGCCUUCGGGUUGCAAAGCUCUUUUGUCAGGGAAGAAACGGUAGUAGCUAAUAUCUAUUACUAAUGACGGUACCUGAAGAAUAAGCACCGGCUAACUACGUGCCAGCAGCCGCCGUAA
rnacentral:rRNA from 1 species